UGGGGAAUAUUGCACAAUGGGCGAAAGCCUGAUGCAGCAACGCCGCGUGAGUGAUGAAGGUCUUCGGAUUGUAAAGCUCUGUCUUUUGGGACGAUAAUGACGGUACCAAAGGAGGAAGCCACGGCUAACUACGUGCCAGCAGCCGCGGUAAUACGUAGGUGGCGAGCGUUGUCCGGAUUUACUGGGCGUAAAGGGUGCGUAGGCGGAUGUUUAAGUGAGAUGUGAAAUACCCGGGCUUAACUUGGGUGCUGCAUUUCAAACUGGAUAUCUAGAGUGCAGGAGAGGAGAAU
rnacentral:rRNA from 1 species